UUUUUUUGUUUUUUUGGUUUUUUUUGCUUUGUCAGUUAUAUACAGUAUGAAGUCGCUAUGCACAGAGCUUUUGUAAAGAUAGCUUUUUGGGUUUUUUUGUUUACUGUUUUUAAUGGUCCUACUUAUGGAAGAAUAUCUUGUUUGUAAAAUGAGUAUGUCUACUUCGGUUUUAAACUUUAAAUUAUCCUAACAAAAAAAAAUAAAAUUUUUGUACUGUAAAUAAGGGGGAAUUAUCUUAAUUUCAGUGUUUAAUCUGCUUCUUUAUCAUCUUUUUGGGUCACUCAUGGUAACAAUAACACUUCAAAAUUGCAUAAAAUAUUAUGUGGGAGUUUUUAAAUCAAGAUUUGAAGAAGUGCCUGUAAAAAUAUCCAACCACAAUCUGGGAGAGACAGGUUGAGAUUAUGCUGGCAUGGAAUAAGAGGAUAAUUAAUGGUCUUUUCUCACCAUUUCUUUAUUACAAAUGGACAAGACCUGUGUGAGAGUUCAGCCUUUUUUUUUGGGGGGGGGGGGGAAGGACUUAAAGGGUUGCAAAGGGGGAAUUUGGACACCUUUUUGGACAAUUCCCCUUUUUGUUAUGAGUAUACAGGUGUCAAAGAAAAAAAUCAAAAUUAAAAACAGGGACUGACUGAUCCUGGCCUUUCCCUGGACUAAAUUUGGGGUCCGGUUUUAGGCAUUUUUAAUUUGUGCAAAACUGAGCAAACAACAAACUGCAGAGGUGAAUCACACUGGCUCCCAAAAAUAAUUUGGAUAUAUUUACUCGCUCUUGUGCAGAGUGCACCUCUCAGCCACAGGGAUGGACAAAACAGAGUGCUGAAAACUGCUUGGAAAACGGUAAUUGGCCAUUUGAACCAGAAAUAUUCCAUUUUCUUCACUGAAAAUUACUGGAAAGGUUCAAACAAAUGAAAUUUUAAUGAUGAAGGUCACUUUUACUGACAUUUUUGACAGAAUGUGAGUCAGUAUUUAAAUUAUUGCCAGAUGUCAGUGAAAGCAUCUGAAAACAUGAGGCACUAUCAGCCCUCAAAAACUGAGGGGAAAACGGAGGUUUUUGGUAAGCUGCACCAAUUCCUGCUUUUGGGAUGACAUGCAAUCAGCAGAUGAGCUUCAUCCCAGCACUGAAACCCAGGUUUUCCACUGUCCUGAAGAAAGAUCCUUCAUCUCCCUUGAACAGAGGCCCAUUCUCCUGAAAAUCUUACUCAGCUCUUUCUCCCCCACACAGAAAUCCCAGCAGUGUUUGAAGUGAUGAUUUUGGUGAUAAAACUCCCGGUUCCUGUGAAAGAGAUUCUCAGAUCCAACAGGGCCCUACUGUUGUAGUCCAGGGAGGAAGUGUGUUGGGCAGAUGAAAGCUGGAGAUCUGCUGCUCCACUCCUGCUUUUCUUACAUCUCCUAAGGGCUCGAUGAUGGACAGAUACAAACACGAGCCUGGGAUGUGUCACCCCCUGAGCAACUUCCAAACAAAAUGCUGAGGGAGGGAAGGCGGGGAUGUAGGAGAGUUUCAGACCAAAAAAAUCAAGUUUUUAACUCAAGCACAUGAACAACUCCCUCCAAGCCCAAGUAGCUCAGAUUAUCUAGGAUUAUCUGCAUAGAAAUGUCUUGAAAAACAAAAAAAAAUGCUCUAGGAUCAUUGCCACGAAUGUAUUUUAUAAUCAGUCUUACUCCAUUCUGAAAAAAACAUUGUGAAAAGAGGUUUUUUGGUCAAUGUUAAGACCCAAAAAGGCUUGAAACCUCUCCACACGUUAAAUCCUUGGCUGACCAGGUUUUACAGGAAGAUCAGAUGUUCAGUCUUCCCUCCAAGGUUGCUGCCACGCUCUGGGAAGAGUUGAAUGACUUUGGUCACAUCAGACAUAGAAAGUGGCCCUUUACCAAAGGUAAAGUGAAUUUGUAGAGUACCAGGAAGAGCAAAGGAAUAUUCCUCCUAAGAGCAGUGAUAAUGGGAAUUCUAGGAGUGGCCAGUGAUUGUGCAGGUUGUCCUUCCCCAGGGAGGGGACAGUCACAUCUGGGCAUGGCCAGGUUGAUCUCCCUUGGCUCAGAAACACCUUCUAGAACAGCACAUCCUCUCCCACCUUAUUUUUAAUUUUUGCUUCUUUCCAGGUAUUUUCUAGAUGGAAAAAAUUUGAAUUUUACUUCAAUAAACAGUGAAACAAAAGCCACUCCUUCAGCCAGUUGUGCAGGGCAGGCAGGGAAUUGCCAGCCCAGUUCAAAUAUUUAUCUCUGUGACAACACACAGCUGCUGAGGUGCAGAGAUCUGAAGCUUUAAUGGCACCACGUUAUUUAGGCAGGAAUGUCUCAUUAACUCCGCAGGACUGGCUCAGCCAGCAGCUGGGGAGGGAGCUGAGGUGCCGACAGAGCAGGAGAACAAACACCAGUGGAGAUAAGGGAAGGGGAAACCCAACACUUCUCCAUCCUGAGGGGGAAGGCACCAAAAAAUGUCCCAUGGAGGCAACAGAAGAACUCUGGGGGAAGCACAGCAGGGAAGGGAAAUGGGAUCUGUUGUGCUGUGUCGGAUCUGGGCAAAGUAACAACAUGAGAAAACACAAGCCUGGCCCUUGGCAUGUCCUUUUCCACAGGGAGACGUGGGUGCAACCCUUCCCCUUCUGGAGACAUGGGAAUUGUACCUUCUUAAGUCACCUUUCACCUUCUGGAGGCACAGGAAUUGUACCUUCUUAAGUCACCUUCAUUGGCAGGGGAAGAUCCUUGGAAAUCCAACACAGCUUUUCAGAGAGGCAUUUUAAACCGCUUUUACAAUGGGGGUCAUUCCUAAUUUCAGUUGUGACUUUUAAGAUACGACUCGGUUGUUUCUAAGAGUAACAGAGACAAAAAUAUUCCCAACAGCAAGCAGCCUUUUGAGACUGCUUUAGAUCAAUUUUAAGAGCGUAACUAACCUGGAUGAGAAAUUCAAGCAUCCCUUCUUUUCCCAAAGCUCCCUGGUUUAAGUGGCAGCACCAGAGCGGGGUUUGUGCAGGGCUGGGAUGGAGAAGGACUUCUCCCAACACCUCCCUGCCAUUGCAGGGACUUGAUUGGAAUUUACCAGCAGGGUCCCUCUGACACUGCAAUUGCUGCAAUCAUUUCUUUGUCUUUAAAAUGCCAUAUAAUUGCUAAUGUAAUUAGUGAUGUAUACAGAGGGGGCCCGUGCAAUUACCAAGUCCUAAGAUCAAGUAAUUAAUGUUCUGUCAACAAAACAGCAACUGUUUCAUUAACAACUGUCUGGGUUUGAAAACAGAUCAACUCAGAACGUACCCACUCGGCUGAGCUUGGCACGAGCAGUGGAUUGCAGCCCAAAACACACCAGCCUGGAUCAAACGGGUGUGGGAAAGGGGAUUGUGCCAGUCCCACCUCCAGCUCCCAGAUAUUCCUCCCCCAGUAAGAUGAGGAUUCAGCACUACUGCCCACAGGGACAGGGCUCACAGCUGGAUGUCCCAGUUUUAGGGAUAAUCUCAGGUUUUUAAAAAAAUUUACAGAGGUUUCUAGGACCUGCAAAGGUUUAUUGGAUUGCAGGACUUGGAGUUUUGAUGAGGUGAGGCCUAUGAUUUUUCUGACCUCUGAAUUUACUUUGUAUACCCAAGAUUUUUUCUAUUACCACAACCCCGAGCACCUCCCUCAAAGCAACAGGAGUGGGGUGCCUGCUCUGAUCUGAUUUUUCACUCCCCUUCCUUUAUGAAUUUGAGUUUUAUAAAGAGUUUUUUUCACCUUGUCCUUUCCCUCACAGCUCUUUUUGGAGAGCUCACAUCCCUCCAAGCGUUCCCCAGCCCCACUUUGGUGUCUCUUGCCUGUCUCCUUGUCUCAGUGCUUCCAUCCAGAGCCCAUUUUUAAGGGUGAGACCCUGAAAGGUGAAGCCUGGAAGGAGAUGUCCUGGUCCUGCCCAACUCCAGCUUCUGCUCUGUCCCGACUGCUCCUGCACCUCUCAGUUUGCUCUUUAGGGAGGGAUUCCAGGUCCACCACAGACUUGGAGUCCUGAUGCAUCACCUCAAAUUUCCAGGAUGGGAAUGGUCCCUGUCCCCUCAACACCACAUCUGCUGAGCCAGGAGAAGCUCAGUGCUCCACCUCGUUCCCUCAGAGAAUGGAAUUCCCAACCUGCUGAGCCAGGACAAGAUCAGUGCUCCACCUCGUUCCCUCAGAGGAUGGAAUUCCCAACCUGCUGAGCCAGGAGAAGCUCAGUGCUCCACCUCAUUCCCUCAGAGGAUGGAAUUCCCAAUCCUCCAUCCCUGUUCUCCCUACCCACUUUUCCAGGACACAGUUAACACAGCACAGGAGCUGUGGCAGCACGGAAUUAAGCAGUAGGAGCAGGAGGGAUCAACGGGGAUUUCCGGGGAGAUUUGAAACACAAACAAGCAUGAGGAACUCUAAAAGUACACAAUUUUUCCUCCCGCUCUGCGCGUGUUGUUUUAUUACAGGGUAAUUAAAGAACACUUUAAAAUUUUGAUUAAUGGGCUUUUUAGCUUCAGAGAAAUCACAUCUUUGAUGUCAGUUGCUUAAACAUUCCGUUUACUUUGCCAUUGAGGAAUGGAAAUAAAUAAAGAAUGCCGAGGAUGCUUUUAUCCCCUCCUGCUUUCUACAGGGAAGGUUUGUAACAGUCACAUGGAUAAAAAUGGGAUUCAUGCAAGAAAAAAAAUGUCAUCUCAGUCUGAGUGAAUGAAACCCUGGUCACAAGGAGCAGCUCUGGUCACACUCAGAGCCACAGCGUGACUCCAGCUGCAGUUGGUGUUUACACAGGAUUUCCCUCCUCUGGGAAGCUCCACACAGCAGCAAUAAUUCAGAUUAUUGGAUUUUAAAGGGGGUGGGGAAGCAACUGUGGCGAACCAGAUCCCAAACCAACACCAGGUGCCUUCACAGCCCAUUCCCUGGGGAAAAGACACUUCCCUGGAUGGAGGGAACGAGCUGUUCCUGGUCUCUUUAGCAACACCAGCAAAUCUCAGGUGCCCAGAGCCUUGUUUGCUGCUUAGUCUGAGGCACUGAUUGGAGCAAUGCCUCUCCAGGGUGCUUGUCUCUGUUUCAUAGCACUAUUUUUAACCAUGGAUGAAUCUGCACAGGGUGGAGAGUUAAGGAAGAGAUCAGUUCUAAUUCCCCUUAUUUUUCCUUCCAUUUUAGAUCUGGGCUCCAACACUACCCACAAACCUUGAUAACCUGAACCCCACACUCUUUAUGAUAAAGGUUAUGGAGGUGCUCAGUCCCAUAACAGUAUUUUCAGCCCCCUGGCAGCCUAUUUAGCCAAUAUUUUUUUCUUAAAGACUAAUUUUCAGCAUUUUUUCUCAAUUUUUUCUUUCUCAGCCUUUCCCUUGAGAUCCAUAAUGAUAGAAAAAGUAAAAAAAAAAAAAAAAAAAAAGCAGGUUUUGGAGUUAGUCUUUAUUUAAAAAACAGUUUCUUAAAAUAUUUUUGAAGCUUUAUUGGAGUUCCUUUAUAUAUUUUUGAAGCUCUAUUAUCAUUGGGGUUUUUUGCAUAAAUCCUGCCCUGCACACACACACACACACACACACACACACACACUUCCUUCCAAAUAUCCACCUCUAUGCAGAUUAAAAUUAUGGAUGUUUUUCCUUCAGCUGCUUUUGGAAGAAAAAGGGAGGAAGGGAAAGAGGGGAGGGGGGGAAGAGUCAACUUUAAUACUCUACAGUAGCACAACCCCCUGAGCAUAAAGCAGUGCUCAGGUAGACACAUCUGGUGAAAUGCAUCACAUCAAAUUAGUAUCAAGGGUAUUGAGAUUCUGAGACGACUGGCAGACAAUUCCCCUUCUAAUGCACUGCUUUGGAGCUUGCUGAGGAAACUUGAGUCCCAAAUCUCCAGUGAAAUGAGUGAUACUAAACAUGCCUGCUCAAAUACUGAAAGUGAAGAUCAAAGACGCAGUGUCCAAAUUGGCUUUGCAAACAAAGCAAGCCCGGGGAUCCCCAGGAGGACGUGGUGCUAAUUUUAUCAGAUCUCCUUGACUCCUUCCUCCCAACAGUUUGUCAUUUAAGAAAAAUAAUAAUAAUAAUAAUGAGAAUGCAUUUCUGGCUGGCUGGCAGGAGCUUAGUUGUGAGACAAACAAAUGCAGUGCCUCUUAAGGGUGUACUUUGCAAGGCACCUUAAUCAAGUAAAAGUGAAAAAUGAGAAUAUUUCCCUCUGAAAUCUGCCCACGCCUCGGUCCCCAAACCACACAUAGACAAACACAUGGGGCCAUGAAUAUUUCAGUACAACUCAGGCCUUCAGAUCAAUACAGGCAACUCUCAACUUCUAUUGAUUUUUCAGAGGUUUGGCUCACAGGGGUGAUAAAAUAUUUCUCAAGUUAUGAAACCUGAGCUCGGGAGCUUUUGCUGAUGCCUCAGCAUUUACCUCUCCCCUCCAUGUGGAUUUAUGACUAAGCAAUAAGUCUUGGAAAGGUGGGCACUGCCAUCCCAUAGGGCCCACUUAAGGUCAAAAAGAGAAAUCAGGGCGGUCCUUCAGGUCACCAAAGUUCUGUUUUCUAAGGGAAUCACUUAUUCUUUCCCCUCCAAGUCCUUAUUCCAAGAUUCAUUAGGCAGCGAGUGAAAUUCCCUUUCAGCGUCCCCUGUAAGCUGUCAGAGAGAAAGGGACACCAAAGCAGACACCAAAUAAAGCAACUCCCUGCUGAGGCAAGGGAGCUAAUCCUCUCCAUAUGGAAAGGAAAUACACUUAAUUAUGUAUUUAUGCAUGUCAUUGCAGGCUUAUAUCUUGUUUCACUUUCAUCCACAAUGAUCCAAACCCAUUUCAAUAUAAUGAGUAAACAUUUCUGGGUUUACAGUAACAGAAGCAUACGGUCACUCACCAUUUCCCAACCAUUUCCUCGCAGUUCUGUGCAGUUUUUAUUUGUCCUGGAGCAGCACCCAGGGAAUGCUCUGCUGGAUGGUGACUGUAAGGUGUUUAUAAUCACAAAACCCCAAAAGAGCUGGCCCCAAAGAGCUUAAAACUGAGCUGAAAAAGCAUUUUGAGAGAGAAGUGGGAAUCUGUGGAUGCUGCUGUAAUAUUCCAGUUAUUCCCUCCCAAAAUGGGUAUCUCUGCAUAUCCAAAAAUUAUUUUUUUAACCCAGUGGGUACCCCAGAGUCCAACACAGUCAGUCAGGGACUAAACUCAUUUGCUGGCCCCACCCUGAGUCCUGGUGUAUGUGAAUUAUGGAUCUUAAGUUGCUUUUUGGUAGCUCAGGAGGAGAAUCCUCUCUGUUUUUUUUUUAAAGCAGUUUUGAUUAUUAUUAUUAAUAUUAGGGGUUUUUUUUUAUUUUUUUUACCCAGAAGCACCAAGGAGCUUUCAGGGCCAGGGACACCUUGUGCU
ensembl:lncRNA